UCCGGUUUGUUUCCGGCAGUCUCUCUAGAUAUUCAACUAGAAAUAAGGGUUGCGCUCGUUGAGGGACUUAACCCAACAUCUCACGACACGAGCUGACGACAGCCAUGCAACAUCUGUGCACCCGUCCUUGCGGAGGCUCAUCUUUCAAUGAGUUGCGAGUGCAUGUCAAGCCCAGGUAAGGUUCUUCGCGUUGCAUCGAAUUAAACCACACGCUCCGCUGCUUGUGCGGGGACCCGUCAAUUCCUUUGAGUUUUAGUCUUGCGACCGUACUCCCCAGGCGGGCCACUUAAUGCGUUAGCUUCGGCACGGAAGGGGUCAACACCCCCCACACCUAGUGGCCAUCGUUUACUGCUAGGACUAC
rnacentral:misc_RNA from 1 species